rnacentral:rRNA from 1 species
AUGACUUCGCCGUCCGCCCCCGUCCUCCACCGCCAAAUCCUGCCCAGACCCUUAGUACCCUCCUGCCGCGUCUCGCCCCGCACCCCCGCAUCCGUCGCGGCGCAGCCGUCGCCGUCGCCGAGGAGAAUAUGGCGCCUGCCCCUGCUCCGAUCGUCGCUGCCUCCCGAAGGAUCCCCGGCGGAGCUUGUAGCAGAGGACUCCAAGUUCGUGCCGCUGAACGCCGAGGACCCGAUGUACGGACCGCCGGCAUUGUUGCUCAUCGGAUUCGAUAAAAGCGAGACCGUCAAGAUUCAGGAGUUCCUAAAGGAGCUGGACGGUGAUUUCCUCAAGGUGAUUCAUUGUACAGAAGAAAUGACGAAACAAACUUUGUGGGAUGCUAUGCACACUGAGCAGCCUAAUGUAGAAGCUGUCAAGAUUAUGAAAUCUCCGCAGAGAAUAUGCAUCUUUUCUGGUCUGACCGGUGAGGAGAUGAUGAUGUUCAUCAACGCCUUCCCAGAAACAGGGUUGGAACAAGCCGCUUUCGCAGCACUUGUUCCCAACAGCGCAGAGAAGGUUCUUGCUGAGGUGAUCGAGGAAAUAAUGGGUGACCAUGAGAUGCUGACGGGAAAGAAUUCAGCAUGA